rnacentral:lncRNA from 1 species
GUGUGUGUUCAUGCUCCGCUGACCACCCGGCCGCACCCCUGUACGUGGAGGAUCCUUUUGGUCUUCAGUUUGGAAAAACUGAACUUCUGAAGCAACCGUAUUGGGAAAACACACCCACCAUCUUCGUAUUGACCAAAUCCAACAUCAACAAAAUUAAGGAGACUACAAAGAUAUUAAUGUGAACCAGUGUGCAUUAUAUAGGAAUCUCCUUGUAGUACUUCUCUUCCGAUACAUGUACAAAACUCAUGUUUUCCUGUAGUACUGACCUUGCUAUACAUGUACAAAAUUGAUGCAGGGAAGAACAUCAUAUGGAGGACGGGCUCCAUUCAGCCAAUUUUUCAAAAAAAAACAUAUGUAUACAGAGAAGUUUCGAUGUCGCUGCAUAGUGGAAAUCUAGAAAAAACAGGAUGAGGAAGGACGCAGCCAAGUCUGAUGUGUUCUCCUGUUGAUGAAGUAAUUCAAGGAGCAGGUGGUUUCAUUCGUAUGAAGAACCAACAAUAAAAUCUUCAUCCCCAUGUUUGCUUCUUGUUUUAUUUCAAGCUGGCACUAACCAUUGGCAUUUUUUGUCUGAUGCUCCACGUCUUGUAAGUGUCCACUAAAAAACAGAAUUUUAUGCAAUACCAGCAAACAGUAAGUGUGAACUUCUCCGUUUACAUUCAUCUAAAGAAUUACGUAUUUUUUUAAAGUAAUCUGGAAGUCAAAAGAUUAUAGUCUAGAGAGUUCAAUCAUUGGAUUUUGGGAAGAAUUCAUCUUACUGAUAAAUAAUGAAUAGAGAAAAAAAAUACAAAAUAGGUUUUGGGUCAGUGCUAAAUAGGUUAGGAAUUGUUUGGCGUUGGUGUAGUGUUGGAGCAUUACUACUACUUGGUUCACUUCCAUUUAAAGGGUCUUGCUUGAAGAUAUCUUUGAAGCCAUAAACACAGUUGUCUUGAUUUCAAAUAGGGGUCAUGGGUUGAGCUAUUAAGCUGAACUUGUUGUUACGCCUCUGAACAUCUACCUCUUUCCUGUAGGUGUUGAUCCUGGUGCUUGUCGCCAUUCAUGAGGAAAGAUAGUCGGUCUUUGAACGGGUGAGUGAUCUUGCUGUUGCUGGGAUGCUAUUCAACAUGGGGAUUUGAUCUCCCUUGAGGUGCAGUGUAGCGAGAUAUAUGCCGCUGCCACUUGUGGAUUUAUUGUUGAGAUGGUCGCUCAACCUCAAUAUUGAUUAGUCCUUCCCCUAGAUUUUGCCCAACAUGCUCUGUAGGUCAUCAGUAAGAACAAAAAGUAUGCCUCUAAGCUGUCUGUGUUUAUUCUACAAAGUAAAUUAGUAUGGCUGCACACGGUUGACUGUUCUUGACCAGUUUUUGUAGUAAUUUGUAUGGCUGACAAAUUUCAGCAGUAAUUAACAUGGCUUCAGUCCACCGUGUCUGAUUUUCAGCAGGCCAACCUGAUUAAUGCUAGUGCAACUCAUCUUCAAAAGUACAUGGAUGCAGUGUGAAAUUUGUUCCUGCUGUUGUUGUUUAGAUAGAUCACACUAGAACAUUUUGUACGAACCACUUACUCAAGUGAGAGAGAUAGGCUUCUUCAUAGUUCAUCUAUUUCCCGGCAAAAGCAGAAAGUGUAACGCCAUUUGUUCCCUGUGUGAAUAAAUUUGUGUUCCUAUGUGAAGUAAUGUUUUGUUCCUGGACUAAGAACAUUCUGUCCUAGUGUGGAUAAUAUUUUAUUCAUCUGUGAAUUACCUUUAUUAAAAAACCAUAUUGAUUGAGAACUAAAAAGGACAUGCUUUUUUAGUAUUCUAGAA